rnacentral:rRNA from 1 species
AUGGCGCCCUCGACACCGUUGCGGCGGUCCGCGGUGUUGUUGUUGUUGUUGUUGUUGUUGUUGUUGUUGUUGUUGUUGGAGACACGCUCGCAGGAGGGGCACAUGGUGAGGGUGGUGGGCGGGGACAUGUGCAUGUACUGGUGCGGGGAGACGAGCUUGAGCGCGCGGAGCUCCUGCACCUCCUUCUGCAGCCGCCGGUUCUCCUCCGUCAGCGUCUCGCAGCAGCGCUUCAGGAACUCGCAGUCCACCUCCGUCUGCUUCAGCUUCGUCCUGCGUUGUUUUUGA